UAUAGCGUAUAUUAAAGUUGUUGCAGUUAAAAAGCUCGUAGUCGGAUGUCGGGCUCGGGCAAGCUGUCGGCCUUUGGUCGGACGGCAGGCUCGGGUCUUUCUGCCUGAGGAACCCGGUUGCUUUAACGAGCUGCCGGUGGACGCAGGUCGUUUACUUUGAAAAAAUUAGAGUGUUCAAAGCAGGCUAGCGCUUGAAUACAUUAGCAUGGAAUAAUGGAAUAGGACUUUGGUGCUAUUUUGUUGGUUUAUGGGACCGAAGUAAUGAUUAACAGGGACAGUUGGGGCCGUUUAUAUUUCGUUGUCAGAGGUGAAAUUCUUGGAUUUACGAAAGAUAAACUUCUGCGAAAGCAUUCGGCAAGGAUGUUUUCAUUGAUCAAGAACGAAAGUUAGGGGAUCGAAGACGAUCAGAUACCGUCGUAGUCUUAACCAUAAACUAUGCCGACUAGGGAUCAGUGGAUGUCAAUUUGCGACUCCAUUGGCACCUUGUGAGAAAUCAAAGUUUUUGGGUUCCGGGGGGAGUAUGGUCGCAAGGCUGAAGCUUAAAGGAAU
rnacentral:rRNA from 1 species